rnacentral:rRNA from 1 species
AGACUCCUACGGGAGGCAGCAGUGGGGAAUAUUGCACAAUGGGCGGAAGCCUGAUGCAGCGACGCCGCGUGAGGGAUGACGGCCUUCGGGUUGUAAACCUCUUUCAGCAGGGACGAAGCGUAAGUGACGGUACCUGCAGAAGAAGCGCCGGCCAACUACGUGCCAGCAGCCGCGGUAAGACGUAGGGCGCGAGCGUUGUCCGGAUUUAUUGGGCGUAAAGAGCUCGUAGGCGGCUUGUCGCGUCGACUGUGAAAACCCGCAGCUCAACUGCGGGCCUGCAGUCGAUACGGGCAGGCUAGAGUUCGGUAGGGGAGACUGGAAUUCCUGGUGUAGCGGUGAAAUGCGCAGAUAUCAGGAGGAACACCGGUGGCGAAGGCGGGUCUCUGGGCCGAUACUGACGCUGAGGAGCGAAAGCGUGGGGAGCGAACAGGAUUAGAUACCCUGGUAGUCCACGCUGUAAACGUUGGGCGCUAGGUGUGGGGGGCCUCUCCGGUUCCCUGUGCCGCAGCUAACGCAUUAAGCGCCCCGCCUGGGGAGUACGGCCGCAAGGCUAAAACUCAAAGGAAUUGACGGGGGCCCGCACAAGCGGCGGAGCAUGCGGAUUAAUUCGAUGCAACGCGAAGAACCUUACCUGGGUUUGACAUGGCCGCAAAACCGGCAGAGAUGUCGGGUCCUUCGGGGGCGGUCACAGGUGGUGCAUGGCUGUCCUCAGCUCGUGUCGUGAGAUGUUGGGUUAAGUCCCGCAACGAGCGCAACCCUCGUUCGAUGUUGCCAGCGCGUUAUGGCGGGGACUCAUCGAAGACUGCCGGGGUCAACUCGGAGGAAGGUGGGGAUGACGUCAAGUCAUCAUGCCCCUUAUGUCCAGGGCUUCACGCAUGCUACAAUGGCCGGUACAAUGGGCUGCGAUACCGUGAGGUGGAGCGAAUCCCAAAAAGCCGGUCUCAGUUCGGAUCGGGGUCUGCAACUCGACCCCGUGAAGUCGGAGUCGCUAGUAAUCGCAGAUCAGCAACGCUGCGGUGAAUACGUUCCCGGGCCUUGUACACACCGCCCGU